UUGCUUCAGUAGCACCUAUACUGAAAUCAGAAUGAUACAGAGAAAAUUAGCAUGGUCCCUGCACAGAGAUGACACCAAAAUUUGUGAAGUACUCCAUAUUUUU